UAGUCUAUUAGGUUAAUUUAAUUAAACUGUCAGUUUGUGGUAUUGAAGAUUUGCUAUAAAGGUAAUUAGACUAA
rnacentral:tRNA from 1 species